AACUUUCAGCAACGGAUCUCUUGGCUCUCGCAUCGAUGAAGAACGCAGCGAAAUGCGAUACGUAAUGUGAGUUGCAGAAUUCAGUGAAUCAUCGAAUCUUUGAACGCACCUUGCGCCCCUUGGUAUUCCGAGGUGCACACCCGUUUGAGUGUCGUGAAAAUCUCAACCUUCUCCGUUUAUUCUGGACACCGACGGCGGCUUGGACUUUGGAGGCAUUUGCUGGCGUCUCUCGCCAGCUCCUCUCAAAUGAAUUAGUGGGGUCCUCUUUGCCGAUCCUCGACGUGUGAUAAGAUGUUUCCAUGUCUUGGUUUAUGGCUCUGUUGCUUUUGGGACCCGCUUCUAACCGUCUCAACGAGACAACGUUCGAGCUUGUCGAACACUCUUGAACCCACGAACCCUUGACCUCAAAUCGGGUGAGACUACCCGCUGAACUUAAGCAUAUCAAUAAGCGGAGGCU
rnacentral:misc_RNA from 1 species